rnacentral:rRNA from 1 species
UACAGAGGUCUCAAGCGUUGUUCGGAUUCAUUGGGCGUAAAGGGUGCGUAGGCGGCUUGUUAAGUCGGCUGUGAAAGCCCGGGGCUCAACCCCGGAGGGUCGGCCGAUACUGGCGAGCUAGAGUACGGGAGAGGUAGCUGGAAUUCUCGGUGUAGCGGUGAAAUGCGUAGAUAUCGGGAGGAACACCAGAGGCGAAGGCGGGCUACUGGGCCGACACUGACGCUGAUGCGCGAAAGCCAGGGUAGCAAACGGG